GACGAACGCUGGCGGCGUGCUUAACACAUGCAAGUCGAACGGAAAGGCCCUGCUUUUGUGGGGUGCUCGAGUGGCGAACGGGUGAGUAACACGUGAGUAACCUGCCCGUGACUUUGGGAUAACUUCAGGAAACUGGUGCUAAUACCGGAUAGGAGCUCCUGCUGCAUGGUGGGGGUUGGAAAGUUUCGGCGGUUGGGGAUGGACGCGCGGCUUAUCAGCUUGUGGGUGGGGUAGUGGCUUACCAAGGCUUUGACGGGUAGCCGGCCUGGGAGGGUGGACGGCCACAUUGGGACUGAGAUACGGCCCAGACUCCUACGGGAGGCAGCAGGGGGGAAUAUUGCACAAUGGGCGGAAGCCUGAUGCAGAAACGCCGCGUGCGGGAUGACGGCCUUCGGGUUGUAAACCGCUUUAGCCUGUGACGAAGCGUGAGUGACGGUAAUGGGUAAAGAAGCACCGGCUAACUACGUG
rnacentral:rRNA from 1 species